rnacentral:rRNA from 1 species
GACCACCUACGGGGCGCAGCAGUAGGGAAUCUUCCACAAUGGACGAAAGUCUGAUGGAGCAACGCCGCGUGAGUGAAGAAGGGUUUCGGCUCGUAAAGCUCUGUUGGUAGUGAAGAAAGAUAGAGGGAGUAACUGGCCUUUAUUUUACGGUUAUUACUUAGAAAGUCACGGCUAACUUCGUGCCAGCAGCCGCGGUAAUACGUAGGGGGCAAGCGUUGUCCGGAUUUAUUGGGCGUAAAGCGUGUGCAGGCGGGUCAAUAAGUC